GUCGAACGCUGGCGGCGUGCUUAACACAUGCAAGUCGAACGGAAAGGCCCUGCUUUUGUGGGGUGCUCGAGUGGCGAACGGGUGAGUAACACGUGAGUAACCUGCCCUUGACUUUGGGAUAACUUCAGGAAACUGGGGCUAAUACCGGAUAGGAGCUCCUGCUGCAUGGUGGGGGUUGGAACGUUUCGGCGGUUGGGGAUGGACUCGCGGCUUAUCAGCUUGUUGGUGGGGUAGUGGCUUACCAAGGCUUUGACGGGUAGCCGGCCUGAGAGGGUGACCGGCCACAUUGGGACUGAGAUACGGCGCAGACUCCUACGGGAGACAGCAGUGGGGAAUAUUGCACAAUGGGCGGAAGCCUGAUGCAGCAACGCCGCGUGCGGGAUGACGGCCUUCGGGUUGUAAACCGCUUUCGCCUGUGACGAAGCGUGAGUGACGGUAAUGGGUAAAGAAGCACCGGCUAACUACGUG
rnacentral:rRNA from 1 species